rnacentral:rRNA from 1 species
GCCAAAGAUCUAGCCCAACAAACAUGAAUUUAACUAAAAUAACUAAUUUUACUUAAUAAAUCAUUCUAUUCUUUUAGUAAAGGGGAUUGAAAAAUUUUUGGAGCUAUAACUAUAGUACCGCAAGGGAAUGAUGAAAUAUUUUAUGAAAACCUUAAGCAAUAGAAAGUAAUGAUUACCCCAUGUACCUUUUGCAUCAUGGUUUAACUAGUUUAAUCAAGCAAAACGUAUUUUAGUUUGACCUCCCGAAACUAAGUGAGCUACUUCAAGGCAGCUGAAAGAGCUAACCCGUCUCUGUUGCAAAAGGGUGGGACGACCUUCAAGUAGGGGUGACAGACCUACCGAACUUAGUGAUAGCUGGUUACUCAAGAAGAGGAUCUAAGUCCAACCUGAAAUUUCUAUUUAGUCUAUAAAAACAACCUUUCAAAUUUCAGCGUAAUUCAAAUAAGGUACAGCCUAUUUGAAACAGGAUACAACCUAAACCAAUGGAUAAUAUUAGCCUAUUGUACAACCAAGUGGGCCUAAAAGCAGCCAUCUUUAAAAUUGCGUCAAAGCUUAAUUGUUCACACGCCCAAUUACCUAAUUAUCACACGACUCCUUUACCAGACUGAGUAAUUCUAUACCACUAUAGAAAAUUUAAUGUUAAAACUAGUAACAAGAAGAAGACCUUCUCUAAAAUGUAAGUGUAAAUCAGACAGGACAAACCACUGAUAUUUAACAUAUUUGAGCCCAAAGUAAUAACUUAUCAAGAAAACCUUACUCGCACCAAUGUUAAUCUAACACAAGAACAUUCUAAGAAAGAUUAAAAGAAAAAGAAGGAACUCGGCAAAUAAUAACCUCGCCUGUUUACCAAAAACAUCGCCUCUUGACCCCCAUAAGAGGUCCAGCCUGCCCAGUGACUCUGUUCAACGGCCGCGGUAUCCUAACCGUGCGAAGGUAGCGUAAUCACUUGUUCUUUAAUUGUGGACUAGUAUGAAUGGCACCACGAGGGUUAUACUGUCUCCUUUUUCUAAUCAGUGAAACUAAUCUCCCCGUGAAGAAGCGAGGAUAUACCUAUAAGACGAGAAGACCCUAUGGAGCUUAAAACAUUAUAGCAGUUACCAAAUAAUAUUUAACUUCCUGAACAUUUACUUUUAAGGAAAUAUGACUACAAGUUUUUGGUUGGGGUGACCACGGAGUACAAAAUAACCUCCAUAUUGAAAGAAAUAUUUCUAAGCUAAAACCCACACGUUUAAGCAUCAGCACACGACAUUCAUUGACCCAAUAUAAUUGAGCAACGAACCAAGUUACCCUAGGGAUAACAGCGCAAUCCACUUUAAGAGCUCCUAUCGACAAGUGGGUUUACGACCUCGAUGUUGGAUCAGGGUAUCCCAGUGGUGCAGCCGCUACUAAAGGUUCG